rnacentral:rRNA from 2 species
AUCAAGGCUGAGGUGUGAUGACGAGGCACUACGGUGCUGAAGUAACAAAUGCCCUGCUUCCAGGAAAAGCCUCUAAGCAUCAGGUAACAUCAAAUCGUACCCCAAACCGACACAGGUGGUCAGGUAGAGAAUACCAAGGCGCUUGAGAGAACUCGGGUGAAGGAACUAGGCAAAAUGGUGCCGUAACUUCGGGAGAAGGCACGCUGGUGUGUAGGUGAAGUCCCUGCGG